UCCCUUGUCUCAGACGUCUUUUUCGCUGUCAGAGCCAAUCUUGCGAUAACUUCCCAUAUUUCUACAGCCAAACCCCUCCAUUAUGGCACUCCCCUGUCUCAGACGUCUUUUUCGCUGUCAGAGCCAAUCUUGCGAUAACUUCCCAUAUUUCUACAGCCAAACCCCUCCACUAUGGCACUCCCCUGUCUCAGACGUCUUUUUCGCUGUCAGAGCCAAAAUUGCGAUAACUUCCCAUAUUUCUACAGCCAAACCCCUCCACUAUGCCACUCCACUGUCUCGGACGUCUUUUCGCUGUCAGAGCCAAUCUUGCGAUAACUUCCCAUAUUUCUACAGCCAAACCCCUCCACUAUGCCACUCCCCU